rnacentral:rRNA from 1 species
AGCGAACGCUGGCGGCAGGCCUAACACAUGCAAGUCGAGCGCCGUAGCAAUACGGAGCGGCAGACGGGAGAGUAACACGUGGGAACGUACCCUUCAGUUCGGAACAACCCAGGGAAACUUGGGCUAAUACCGGAUACGUCCGUAAGGAGAAAGAUUUAUCGCUGAAGGAUCGGCCCGCGUCUGAUUAGCUAGUUGGUGGGGUAACGGCCCACCAAGGCGACGAUCAGUAGCUGGUCUGAGAGGAUGAUCAGCCUCACUGGGACUGAGACACGGCCCAGACUCCUACGGGAGGCAGCAGUGGGGAAUAUUGGACAAUGGGCGCAAGCUUGAUCCAGCCAUGCCGCGUGGAUGAUGAAGGCCCUAGGGUUGUAAAGUCCUUUCGGCGGGGAAGAUAAUGACGGUACCCGCAGAAGAAGCCCCGGCUAACUUCGUGCCAGCCGCCGCAGUAACAC